AAACACUCACUUCCUGGGACUCAAAGAAAGUGCAGCUGAAUUAGAUGGUUUUUAGCUGGGGACUGGCUAGAUCAGUGGAAAUCACAACCAAGUUCUCCCACUGCCUUUCUAUCCAACAGCACUGUGGAUCACCCGCAGACAAGGAUGAAAUCACCAAAAAGUGUAAUCGUUAGGUCACUAGGUGUGCACAUUGGUAAUUUUAGAAAAUAUUGCCAGAGAGAUUGAAACAAUUCACUACUGCCUUUCCUCCAGCUUCUCCUGGGCAUGCUACAUACACUGUGGGAAGGCGGAAGACUGACCUAGAACACCUUUAAGUGGAUGCUACAAAACCCACCAGGGCAGAGCCUCAGCUCUCAGCCUCCUAGAAUGAAGCGUGAACCCAAAGCAAAGAGCUGAACUGCUUUCACACCUCUGACUUCACAGACAAAGGUGAAUCUCCUAAGGUAUUUCUGAAACAUGCAGUUCUGAAGUCUUGCCAGCCACACCAAAGAGCUUUUCGCAAGAAGGCACAGGCCAGGUAGAGGCAGCUGUGCAGUGGGAGGACUGUGAUAUUUUGGACUAGAAAAUAAGACUCAAAUGAGGCCAACAAAACACGGGCACUGCAUAAAGGUGUCUUCUCCCCACUUUAUAAGCCUUAUGUGUGAUAAUAUUCAAUGCCAUAACAAGGCAAGUGAAUAGGUCCUUGGAGGGAGGGAUAGCUGGAUUUUAAUCCUGGCUCUACACUAAGGUCUUGGACUACUUAUUGCAGGUCUCUGAGCUUCAUAGUUUUAUAUAUAAAAUAGGAUGAAGACCACCCCCAAAUGCACUUUGAUGGUGAGA